rnacentral:rRNA from 1 species
AUUGAACGCUGGCGGCAUGCCUUACACAUGCAAGUCGAACGGCAGCACGGGAGCAAUCCUGGUGGCGAGUGGCGAACGGGUGAGUAAUAUAUCGGAACGUGCCCAGUCGUGGGGAUAACGUAGCGAAAGCUACGCUAAUACCGCAUACGAUCUAUGGAUGAAAGCGGGGGAUCGCAAGACCUCGCGCGAUUGGAGCGGCCGAUAUCAGAUUAGGUAGUUGGUGAGGUAAAGGCUCACCAAGCCGACGAUCUGUAGCUGGUCUGAGAGGACGACCAGCCACACUGGGACUGAGACACGGCCCAGACUCCUACGGGAGGCAGCAGUGGGGAAUUUUGGACCAAUGGGCGCAAGCCUGAUCCAGCAAUGCCGCGUGCAGGAUGAAGGCCUUCGGUUGUAACUGCUUUGUACGUACGAACGUG